CCCUCGCGCCUAGCAGUAGCGCCCUCGCCCUUGCUUCGCGCGCGCGCUGCGUGUCGUGCUGUGUUGUUGCCCACGUCGCUGCCCCACACACAACACACCAAUUGUUGCGUGUGUGUAACCGGUGGAUAAUCAAAUUGAGUUGAUUUCUAGCUUGAGUUGUGAUUCGCACAGUGUCCCCCGUACUUAGGUAUUCCAGUCAUGGCCUUCGCCUUAAUGACCCUAUGAUGAUCCAUCAUUGCACUUGAAUUGUUGGGGAGUAGAUUUCAAUAAGCAGGUUGGUAGAGAUGACUUGCGGGAGAAGUUAUCAUGGGAAUAGUGAUAAGAGACUAUUUCAUCUUUCGCAUUUAUAAACUCUAUUUCUGAUUUAUAGUCAUGACUACUAUUACUACUAUUAUCACUAUUUUGAACUAUUUACUACUUUGGUUUGGGCCUUGAUGGUUCCAGUUUGUUAAAUGAUCAUUCACUAUUUAAU